rnacentral:tRNA from 1 species
UGCGGGGUCGGCUAACGGUAGGCCGCGACGCUCUGGACGUCGUUAUCCUGGUUCGAAUCCAGGCCCCGCAG